rfam:Chlorocebus sabaeus isolate 1994-021 chromosome 22, whole genome shotgun sequence.
GCCCGCCACCACGCCCGGCUAAUUUUUUGUAUUUUUUNGUGCCUGAUCUUGUCUGAUCUCAGAAGCUAAGCAGCGUUGGGCCUGGUUAGUACUUGGAGGGGAGACUGCCUGGGAAUACUGGGUGCUGUAGGCU